rnacentral:rRNA from 1 species
UACAGAGGUCUCAAGCGUUGUUCGGAUUCAUUGGGCGUAAAGGGUGCGUAGGUGGCGCCGUAAGUCAGGUGUGAAAUUUCGGAGCUUAACUCCGAAACUGCAUUUGAUACUGCGGUGCUUGAGGACUGGAGAGGAGACUGGAAUUCACGGUGUAGCAGUGAAAUGCGUAGAUAUCGUGAGGAAGACCAGUGGCGAAGGCGGGUCUCUGGACAGUUCCUGACUGAGGCACG